rnacentral:rRNA from 1 species
UGGGGAAUAUUGGACAAUGGGCGAAAGCCUGAUCCAGCCAUGCCGCGUGUGUGAAGAAGGUCUUCGGAUUGUAAAGCACUUUAAGUUGGGAGGAAGGGCAGUAAGCGAAUACCUUGCUGUUUUGACGUUACCGACAGAAUAAGCACCGGCUAACUCUGUGCCAGCAGCCGCGGUAUUACAGAGGGUGCAAGCGUUAAUCGGAAUUACUGGGCGUAAAGCGCGCGUAGGUGGUUCGUUAAGUUGAAUGUGAAAGCCCCGGGCUCAACCUGGGAACUGCAUCCAAAACUGGCGAGCUAGAGUAGGGCAGAGGGUGGUGGAAUUUCCUGUGUAGCGGUGAAAUGCGUAGAUAUAGGAAGGAACACCAGUGGCGAAGGCGACCACCUGGGCUCAUACUGACACUGAGGUGCGAAAGCGUGGGGAGCAAACAGG